rnacentral:lncRNA from 1 species
AUGGCGGCCGCCGUCAAGAAGGAGCUGAAGCUGCUGGGGGAGAGGAUGAGGAAGAAGCACGUGGAAGAUCGGAAGCGUUAUCAGGGGCUCUUCCAGCAGCCCCGGGGGAGGAGGGCUGGUGUGGAUGGGAGGCAGCAGGAGGAGGUUGGGUGUCAUGGAGGGGAGCAAGGUGUGGGAAUGGGAGAAGCCGGGGUUGGUGAAGGAGAACGAGGAAUGGCUGGGGAUGGAUGUGGAAAGGAAGCAUGGGGAAGAGGAACAGCCCCAGGGGAGGCUGAAGUGGUGGGAAAUGGGGUGAGACAGGGUGAGGAAGUAAAGCUGGGUGUCUGCAGGGCAGAGUUGGAGAGCUGUGGGGCAGAGAGGGGCGUGGAGGAAGGGGGGGAGGAGGAGGAGGAGGAGCAGGAGAAGGAAGGAAAAGUAAUGGUGGAGGAGGAGAAAAAAGAGAUAGUGGAGAAGGAGGAAGAAGUGGUUGAAGAGGCAGAGGAAAAGGAGAAGACAAUGGAGGAGGAGCAGAAAGGGAAGAAAGGGGCAGUGGAAGAGGAGGAAGAAAGGGAGGAGACAGUGGAGAGGGAAGAAGACAUGGAGGAGAAGGAGAAAAGAAAGGAGACAGAGGAGGGGGAAGAAGAGAUGGGGAAGGUAGAGGAGGAGGAGGAAAGGAAGGAGGAGAAAGUGGAGGGAAAAGAAGAGGUGGGGAAGGUGGAAGAGGAUGGAGUGGAAAAAGUGGAAGCAGUGGUAGAGAAACAAGAAGGGAAGAAAGAGACAAUGGAAGAGACAGUGGAGAAGGAAGAAGAGAAGGAGAAAGUAGAAGAGGAGAACUCAGCAGCAGAGAUGGAAAAGCUGGCUGAAGGGCAAUGUGAGGAAUCAGAGAAAGGAGAGCUCAUGCUGGGGCAGGAAGCUGGUGGGGCAAAGGGAGCUGGUGCAAAGAGCAUGGCUGGGGAGGAGUCAGGCAGAGCUGCAGAGCAGGCACCUGCAUAUCUGGACCAGGGGACAUUCCAGGGGGAGCUGGGGAAGGGCAGCUGUGGGGGACAGCAAGCAGACAAUUUCCCCACCGCCACCAUCACCAAUGGGGCAGUGCUUCAGGCCGGGCCAUUGGGUGCACGUGAGGAGCUGGAUGGGGGAACAGAAGUGCCCCUACCUCACACCAGCUGA